rfam:Flavobacterium segetis strain DSM 19741 genome assembly, contig: Ga0131139_101
GAUUUGCAUGAGGGAUAGCAGUGGAAAUCCUUUUUUUUCUCGUUGUCAAAACGAGAAAAAAAAGAUUGAAACGGAUAGCCCGACCGCAG